rnacentral:rRNA from 1 species
GACAGAGGCCCCAAGCGUUAGGCGGAAUUACUGGGCGUAAAGCGUGCGUAGACGGUUAUGUAAGUCGGGUGUGAAAGCCCGGGCUCAACCUGGGAAUGCCAUUCGAGACUGCAUAGCUAGGGUGCGGAAGAGGGAAGCGGAAUUUCCGGUGUAGCGGUGAAAUGCGUAGAUAUCGGAAGGAACACCAGUGGCGAAAGCGGCUUCCUGGUCCAGCACCGACGUCAGGCACGAAAGCGUGGGGAGCAAACAGG